UGACGUUGGUUAACAUGAAUAAGCUUGAAUUAUUGCCAAGUCAUUUUCCUGACACUUUCAGAUUUGUUUAUUUGUUUUUUUCUCAACCUCUGACAUUUAGAUGCAUAAUACAUGUCAAAGACUUCUUAAAUGAUUACGAUCAUCAUGCCUUGAAGGAGUUUCCUCAAUUUCUUGCCGAUAAAGACUAUAGUAAAAAAUGAUCUAGCAAAACUGAGUAAGCAUUGU